rnacentral:tRNA from 1 species
UAGAAUGUAGCUUAGUGGUAGAGCACUUGCCUAGCAUGCACAAGGCCCUGGGUUCUACCCCAGCACUGGAA